rnacentral:rRNA from 1 species
ACCCGCACAAGCGGUGGAGCAUGUGGUUUAAUUCGACGAUACGCGAAGAACCUUACCUGGCCUUGACAUACUAAAAAGCUUUAAGAGAUUAGAGUGUGCUAGCUUGCUAGAAUUUAGAUACAGGUGCUGCACGGCUGUCGUCAGCUCGUGUCGUGAGAUGUUGGGUUAAGUCCCGCAACGAGCGCAACCCUCGUGUUUAGUUGCUAACAGUUCGGCUGAGAACUCUAAACAGACUGCCUACGCAAGUAGGAGGAAGGUGAGGACGACGUCAAGUCAUCAUGGCCCUUACGGCCAGGGCUACACACAUGCUACAAUGGGGUAUACAAAGAGCAGCGAUACGGUGACGUGGAGCAAAUCUAGAAAAUGCCUCUCAGUUCGGAUUGUAGUCUGCAACUCGACUACAUGAAGUUGGAAUCGCUAGUAAUCGUGGAUCAGCAAUGCUACGGUGAAUACGUUCCCGGGUCUU